rnacentral:rRNA from 1 species
GUGCCAGCCGCCGCGGUAAUACCGGCAGCCCGAGUGAUGGUCGAUCUUAUUGGGCCUAAAGCGUCCGUAGCUGGCCACGCAAGUCCGUCGGGAAAUCCACCUGCCCAACAGGUGGGCGUCCGGCGGAAACUGUGUGGCUUGGAACCGGAAGGCUCAGAGGGUACGUCCGGGGUAGGAGUGAAAUCCCGUAAUCCCGGACGGACCACCGAUGGCGAAAGCACUCUGAGAAGACGGCUUCGACAGUGAGGGACGAAAGCUAAGAUCGCGAACCGGAUUAGAAACCCGAGUAGUCC